rnacentral:snoRNA from 1 species
AAGACUAUACUUUCAGGGAUCAUUUCUAUAGUUCGUUAAAUUUCCUGGAUGUGGUACACUAUUUAUCUCUUCUUCUGUGCUUCA